GUGCCCCCUGGUUCACAUAGUUCAUGCUUCCUUUUUAGAGGCAUAGGUGUAAAACAGUAGAGUCUGUUUAAAGAGCAUCUGUUUGAAGUUUAAUGUAACUGAAUGAAGUCCACGCACCUGGUAAUGGAUGACUGGAUCUAGUUCAGAACAUCUGUGAACACAGAGGGAGUGGAAACUUCACUUUCAACAUCGUCAGCCAACUUCCCUCCCAUUACAAUUCUAUCGCAAGAUCAAGGUCAUGUGAGAAACCAGCAGAUAUAUCCUCACUACAAGGCUGAGUGUAAGCAGGCGAUAACCUCAAAUAUUAAACGAACAAAAAGAAGACCAUCUACAUGGAAUAUGACACCCUCAGAAACAUGGAACAUGAAACAGCUUCUCCAAGACUUCUUAUUUGGUAUGAAUAUGGCCACAUUUCACUAAGGCUAACGAAGAAUUCUGAGAUGAGCUUAGAAGAGAGAAAGUCACACACCUUAAGAUAUCAUUUGCCCACAAAUCAUACUUUGAGAAGUGGACAUGUUUAAUAUCACAGGAUUUAAGAGGGACAGACAUAGACAUUUUUACUUCUUUGCAUUUCAUUUCACAUUUUAUGUGCUACUUUAACACUGUAUCAGAAAAAUUAUCAGGUUUAUAUGAUCAUUGAGUUGUUCUUAAUAAACGCAUG